rnacentral:misc_RNA from 1 species
CUCCUGUACAAAUGAAUCAUAGAUUGCUAUGUUAUAACCCCCAAUUAAAUGGGCUAAAAGAAUGAGGCCACGUACACAAUUACACAGGACACACCAUUAAGCAUGCAUCAGAUGAAUCAAGAUGGCAAUGUUUCAGAAGUGAAGAAAAGCCCUAGAAGGCGCAAAUAGCGAACACGGAAGCGCCUCCAAUAUAUCAAGAAAUCCAGAGUCUGAACCUCAAGAUAAGAUCACAAGUCCAAGAUAUAUGGAUCCACAGAGAAAAACAAAU